GCAAUGCCUAUCUUUUGCCUUUCUUUGUAUCUCCAGCUCUUUGUAAAAUACCUAACACAUAACAAAUGCCUAAUAAACACUUAUUGACUGAUUGAUCUAGCUAGACCUGAAGGCAGGAAGACCUGAGACACUUUUUAGCUUUGUGACCUUGGCCAAGUCCCUUAAUUGUAGAAUUCCUUAAUUUCUUCAAAUAUAAAAUGGGGGAAAUAAUAGCACCCACCUCCUGAGAUUGUGUGAAGAUCAAAUGAGAUCAUAUUUGUGAAGAACUUAGCACACUGCCUGGUGCUUAGCAAGACCAUAAUUAAUGCUGGUUCCCUCCUCCUCCUUCCUUCUUAACCAUCCCAGUUUAUAGAGAUGUAUUUUUGUUUCCAAUGAACUCUCUUCAAUUUUCUCUGUUCUAGUUAUUUGGCACUUGGGAAAGCUUUUCUCUUUGUUAGCUGUCUUCAUAUAUCGUGUUUCACCAAUUUUGACAAUGAGCUCUGAAAGAACAGAAACCACAUUCCUACAGAACAUAUGACAAUGUCUUGUACACAAAAGAUGCUUGGUAGAUUUAUUGAAUGAGUGAAGAUAGGUUUCUCCCUACAGUCUGGUCUGUACUAUCCCUAAGCCUCCUCAAAAUAAGCAGUGUCCCUACCUUUUAGUACAGCUUCAUAUUGAGCAAUUCAAAUUCUCUCUUCCACUAAACCUGUUUAAUUUCAAAGGGAGAGUAAAGAAAAGAAACAAUCAGGAAAAUGCCAAGAGAAUUAUCUUCAUGGACCAUGAUUUCUUGAUUAUAGAAGUCAGCAGAAGUAGCAUUUGGAGAAGGGCUGGAACUGAAGUUUUGCAGCAUGGCAAUAACAAUUUGGUUACUGCGUCCAGAGCAUGAGGUGGAAAGUGGACAUGACCAUAUGAAGGAAAGAUAGUGAAGAAGAAUGGUUGGCUAGCUGGGACUGGCUACAUAUGAUAAGGACUGUUUGGAAGAAUAUAGAGCUGACAGCAGGAAGAUGGCAUGGAAAGAAGACAGUUGUGAAGCUUUUUUGGGUGACUGAGUUCAGAUCAAUAUAUUGAAUUUUCAGCAAUCAAUACUGCAUGACUCCAGGGAAAAUACUAGAGGUCUCAUUAGUCAGUGUUAGAAGGGCUUUGAAAAGACAGCCAUACAAAUAUACUGUUUA
rnacentral:lncRNA from 1 species